rfam:Clostridiales bacterium KLE1615 genomic scaffold Scaffold737, whole genome shotgun sequence.
UAGAUCCUGGGGUGUACGAAGUCUUGCUUUUAUUUGAACCUACAUGACUUAAUACGGGAUUCCUAUAUUGUCAGGCAGAUGUCAGGCCUCCGUUGUGCAGUGGAAGGCAGAAGUUUGAUUGCGGUUGCCCACCUAGCAUUAGCUAGGCGUCAAAUGGGCAGGGACGGCACUCUGGGAUAGUA